ACAAAGGCUCUUUUAAGAGCCACAUCAACUCUUCUAACAGAGCUCU
rfam:Takifugu rubripes chromosome, Chr_10